GACGAACGCUGGCGGCGUGCCUAAUACAUGCAAGUCGAACGCAGUGGGGACGGGUGAGUAACACGUGGGUAACCUCCCAUAAGAGGGGAUAACACUUGGAAACAGGUGCUAAACCGAUACUGAUGGAUGGACCCGCGGUGCAUUAGCUAGUUGGGGGGGUAACGGCUCACCAAGGCCACGAUGCAUAGCCGGCCUGAGAGGAUGAACAGCCACACUGGAACUGAGACACGGCCCAGACUCCUACGGGAGGCAGCAGUGGGGAAUCUUGGACAAUGGGCGCAAGCCUGAUCGAGCAAUGCCGCGUGAGUGAAGAAGGUUUUCGGAUCGUAAAACACUGUCAGCGGGGAGGCGGUACCUAACGAGAAAGCACCGGCUAACUACGUGCCAGCAGCCGCGGUAAUAC
rnacentral:rRNA from 1 species